AGACGAUGUCGGAGAAGGAGUGCAAGCACCACGAGGGCAAGAAGAGGAAGAUCUUCCGCCAAGUCUUCUGGGGCAUAGUGGUGUUCCUCUUCCUUGUCUUGCUCGCUAUUCUUCUCAUAUGGGCCAUCCUCAGACCCACCAAACCCACCUUCACUCUCCAAGACGUCACCGUUUACGCCUUCAACGCCACCGUCGCCAACUUCCUCACCUCCAAUUUCCAAGUCACGCUUAUCUCGCGCAACCCUAACGACAACAUCGGAGUCUACUACGACCGCCUCGAAACCUACGUCACUUACCGGAGCCAGCAGGUCACCUACCGCACCGCCAUCCCUCCCAUCUACCAGGGCCACAAAGACGUCAACGUUUGGUCUCCCUUCGUCUACGGCACCAACAUCCCCGUCGCGCCCUUCAACUUCCUCGGCCUCAGCCAGGACCAGACGGAGGGUACCGUCCUCGUCACCGUCAAAGCCGACGGCAAGGUCCGCUGGAAGGUCGGCACCUUCAUCUCCGGCCACUACCACCUCUACGUCCGCUGCCCCGCCUUCAUCUCCUUCGGCCCCCGCAGCAACGGCAUCGCCGUCGGAGAAAACGCCAUGAAGUUCCAGAUCAUCCAACGGUGCUCCGUCAGCGUUUAAACCCACACCACAAAAAGAUACCAACGCAUUCUCUAACACACUCUUUCAAACACACUUUUCAUCGGAAAAACUUCCAUACAGUAUUACGAAUUACGAACACCAUUGAUGUUGUUCAGAGUUUCACUUUUGAUCAUAUACAAUCCGUUUCUAGCGGAAAACAACAUCACCAAUACUGUAAACAAGUUUUAUCCUUUUAUUACCAAAAACACUAAAUUCAGUGAUGUACAUCAUUUUACAUCAAUAAUUUAGUGACGAACUUUAUAAGUAAAAUAUUUCGUCACUAAUUUUAAUUUUUUUUUGAAAAUAUCAGUGUUAUUGUCUUUUAACGUGUUCAAGAUGUUACCGGUAUAUAUUUCAAUCAAUGAAGGAAUAAUGAAAAGUGUGUUAAAAGAAUGUAUUAGAGUUGUGCUGUCAUUGUACUUUUAUACGUAUGUAUGUAUUCUACCACUGUUACGUAAAGUCGUGUAUGAACUGGUCGUAGAUGUUUGUGUUUUACGUUUUGCUAUAGAAAUGUGAAACAGACGAAAGAGUCUGAUAUAGCAAAAUUAGAUGGAGAUUAAAUGUAAUAUCGAGGUACGAUGGCAAUAAAAUUUCUUGUUUGAAUUUGGCUUACAAAUGAGAGUGAUGAAGCAUGGAUUCUGAGUCAUUAUCCUUUUGAACACUUCUAUAUACCUUUGUUGCUUAUUUUAUUGUUUUUUUAUACGUGUGUGCAUAUUCAUAAGCCAUAUUCCAUCUCGCUUUCUUUAUCUUCACGAAUUGGACCACUUUAGUAUUAUUUGAGUGUCACUUUUAUCUCUUUUUCUUGCGGUUAGUGCUUGAAUAUUCAUUUGGGUGGAUAUAUAUAUAUACAUGCACCAAGUUUCAGGUUCCUUUUGGUGUAUAGUGUAUGUUAUUUAGGAUAGAAAAAGGUUUGUUGUGGGAUAUUUGGAAGAAAGGUGGUAGCAAAAGGCAAUGGGAAAAGUUAAUGAGAAAAAUUUUGUGUGAUGAGAAGAGAUUUAAGGGUAAAGAUGAAUUAUUGAAGUGGUUGUGGGUGCUAACUUUUGGAGGAAUAUUAUUGUGUGUCUACAUUGAUCCACACAUGGCAUGGUGAUGGUGGUGGUCCUUUUCACACACCCUCACCUACUUUAGCUACUAAUAAUAUCAUCAAAGAAAGUUUUUCUUCCAUUAAAUGUGUAAAUGACCUGUCCUUUUCUUCCUUCAUAUUCGUUAACUAAUUCAAAGUUAAGAUCACAACACUAGGAUUUACAUUUUCUAAAACCCCUUUUCAUUAAUACAAUAUAAUUUACUGAAAAAAAAUAAAUUGAGUAAAAAAAGUAGUCAUUUCUAGUGUUUAAAUAUAGAUACAUAUAUGUAAUUGUUCUAGUAUAGGGUUGUUUAUACAGUGCUAGAGAUUACAACCAAUUCCAAACAUUAAAGUGUAAUUCUUAACCUAAUCUCUUGUGUGAUUUAACCAAAUUUAACUCGAUCUAAUUUUAAUUUUUAACUUGCCUUGAAAAAAAAUAGUUAUUACAACAACAAAUUAUUAAUCAAGAGGUUAAUAGCUUAAUUCACCGACAGAGAAGUCCAAUACAGAGAACCUUCUUUUGAUUGGUCUAAAUCACAAUCAGUAACGUGUGAAUGUGAAUACGACUAAAUUCAGCAACCACAGAAUAUGUAUUAAUCAUAAUCAUUUGUAUGUAAUUUCAAAAGCUCGUCUUUUGACAUAGCAAUGGCAAAUUUUGGGUAGAAAAUAUUAUACUUCUUCUCACCAGGAGUUUUAUAUAUAUCUAAACAAAAAUUAAUAAUAUUUUAACUUUCCAAUAAAGCAUUAAUUUUUUUCUUUCUUAUUUGUCCUCAAAUUAAGUGCUCACUAACUCAGUUCAAAUUAAGUGCUCACUAACUCAGUUCAAAUUAAUGCACUGGGAAAAGAACGAGACUAUUUGAGUAUAAUUAUUUUAAAAGAUGGUACAUUUACUAUUAUUCUUAAUACACAUAUAUAUGAUAAAAUCUUACAUUGCAAUUAUUAUAAAUCAGAUGAUGAAGUAAUAGUUUACACAUCAGUUAAAGGUUCAUUUACAUAUUAUGAUAUGAACGAUGAAUAUAUUAUUUUUGGAAAAAUUUACUAACAUAUUCUCGUUUUUUUAAUAGAUACAUUACUUUAAUUCAGAAAGAUAAAAUAAUUAUUUAAGGUUAAAUUAAAAAAACUCAAUUUUUUAAAAAACUUAGAUGGUUAAAACUGUAUUCAAUGUAAGAAAGAUGAAUUAGUUUUUACUGUUUUCAAGAUGUCAAAAUUGACAUUGUUGUGAUGUCAUCGAUUCUGACAAAAGUCAAGCCUCCUUGUAUGAAUAAAUUGUGUUGGAAAUGGGUUGGGUAGUUACAACGCCACUCAAUUAAUUAUUAUUUUUCUUCCUGCACCCCAGCAAUUUCUUGGUACAUCUAUCCUUCUUUAAAGAAAUUUAUGGAUUACUUAUUCUAAAAAAUUUCAGAACACGCUUUCUUUGUAAAAUAUCUAGAAUGUGAUUUCCAGAAUAUGAAUUCAUUCUGAAAUGCGAUUUUCGUAAUAAAGUUUUUUAGAAUGAAAUUUUCAGAAUCCAUGAAAUACAUUUCAGAACAAUUUUUUUCUUGAAUAGGAUUUCUAGAAUAUAUUUUUUUAAUAUAUAUAAUAUUUUUAUAAAUGAAUAUUAUGGAAUAAGUUUUCUAGGACGUUUCACAUAUUAUCUCUCUUCUUCUACUACAAAGUGGUGGUAUGAUGUAGUAAAAGAUGGUAUUUUUGUUUUUUCAAUCAGAAGUGGGGUAGAGUUAGUAAUGAUGGGGAUGCAGGAAACAAAAUCCUUAAUUGUCUUGACAAGUACCCUGGGCCUUAGGCCCCAAUGCUUCAGGCUUUCUUUCAGUAAAUAAUAAGAUGUACAUAUGAAAAUGAUAUUUCUUUCUAAUAAAAUCUUGAGUAAGUUCCUUAGAAAUUCAUUUUCAGAAUUUCAAAAAAUGGCUGAUCCAAAAUAUAAUAGAAUACAUGAUGUUCGGUCCCUUACAGAAAAUAUGGGAUAAUGGAAAGACAAUUUACUCCUCUACCAUCAUAGUUUUUUUUACACCUCCAUAAUUUUUUUUUAAUUCCUUCGAUAAAAGGAACAAGAUUUUAAUUUUUAUCAUUUCCGAAUUUAGCAAUGAAUUUUUGUUAUUGGUUGUUAGAUUUGUAGAUUUGACAUGCCUUAUGUAUCUUAUUGUUAAUGAAAAAAAAUAUAUGAAAAAAAAAUACAUUUAAUACGGUAAUAAUCCGAACCCUACCUUCAAGCCACUUGCCUUCAACUUGGAUCCUGAUCAACAUGUGGUAAUGACAAGAAUAUCACGUUCAGUUUUUUUGGGUCAUAAUCAAUCAAUGUCCCUACCCAAACGCGUCUUAGUAAAUUUUCAAACUCAUUCUGGUUUCGCCCAAUUAAUUUCACCCUCUUCUUACUUGCACCCACCAUCUUCAACCAAGUGAAAAACAAACUUAACACAAAAAAACAACCAAACACACCCUUCGUCUUGUAUAUACACACACACACAAACGUACUUUUCUAUAUUUCCAAAUUUUCAUCACAACAUGAGGGAUAAGCAACCCCAACUAAACGGUGCGUAUUACGGCCCCGCUAUUCCUCCAGUCGAGGCGCCACGUCCCCGCCGCCACAGAAAUUGCUGCUGCUGCCUCUUCGGCUUCUGCUGGAAGCUUCUCCUCGCAGUCAUAAUCCUCCUCGUCCUCGGAUUCCUCAUCUUUUGGGCCGUGCUCCAGCCACGCGCCUUCAGGUUGCAAGUCACCGACGCGACGCUCACGCAGUUCAACUACACCUCCAGCGACAACACGCUCCACUACAACCUCCUCCUCAACUUCACCGCACGAAACCCCAACAAGAAGAUGGGCUUCUACUACGAGAGCGUGGAGAGCCACGUGUCGUACGGCGGCGUCAGGUUCGCGUCCGCGGAGGUGUUGACGUUGCGUGACUCGUUCCGGCAACGCACGAAGAGCACGGACCGCAUGAGCGGCGUUUUCACGGGGCAUUACAAGACGGUGGUGGAUCAGGACCAGGUGAAGAAGCGCUUGGAAGAAGAUGAGAAAAAGAGGGUUUUUGAUUUCGAUGUGGAACUCCACUUUAAGCUUAAGUUCAUAAUUGGCGAUUUCAACAGUUCUAGCACCAAGGCCAAGGCAAAGUGUGGGCUUCAGGUCCCUUUGAGUUCCGACGGAAAAACUCCAAUGGCGACGGAGUUUGCAUCCACCAACUGCCAUGUCCAUUUCUGAGUGUCCACAGAGGACUCACUUUACUAGAUUCCAUGCUUCCAUUUACUUUUUUCUUAACAUGUCUUUCUUUUUUCUACUCAACCAUGGUUGAUUUCAAUGAUAUGCAAUGAAUAUAUUUGCUAAUAUUUUGUGCUGUUUUUACUUUUUCACACAUCAAAUCUUAAGAAUGAAUAUGGUAUUUUUUAUAUUUUAAAAUAAUUCUUUUAGUUUUUUUAAUAAAUAAAUUAAGAGAAUUGACAGAUAUGUUGGUUAACCUAUUUAACUGUUUAAUAUUUUAAUCCACAACAUUGUGUAUUUAUCCACUCCCAAUGAUAUGCAGUAAGGCCACCUGCACCACAUGUUCCAACUAAACGUAAGUCAAACAUUACAUGAUUAUACUAUUCAACGUAUUGAAGUCAGAAGCGCGUUUGUUUUCACGAAUCCUUCAACAUCUUCUUAUCCAAUCCAUAACUAUACAUACAUCUCUUCUACCGCCACCAAAACGCACUUCACUUCACCAUCUUUGCUCAUUCAAACUCCUCCGAUAUGGCUGACGCACACCCGCCACCUAACACCGCCGCACCAAAUGACGCCGCUUCCGUUCCCUCGAAAGAGCGUCUCCGCACAAGAUGCUGCUACUGUCUCUCCAAAACCUUAUGGAUCAUUCUAGUCAUCAUUAUCGUCCUCGCCGUGCUCGUGAUUUUGGUUUUAUACAUCAUCGUCACACCCACCUCCUUCAGAUUCCACGUCACCGACGCCAGGCUCACGCUGUUCGAUUACGCUGCCAACUCCACCCUUCGCUACAACCUCGUCCUCAACAUCACAGCAAGCAACCCCAACAAGAAGCUCAAGAUCUACUACGACGUCGUUCAGGCCAACGCCUUCUACGGCGGCGUUAGGUUUUCCACCACCGACGUCAACAUGCCCUGGAACUCCUACCUUCAGGAUAAGAAGAGCAGCAACCUUUUCAGCGCGGUUUUCUCUGGAGAACAUGUGAUGGCGUUGGAUCGAAAGCAGGUUAGCGAGUUCCAUGAAGAUGAGAAAGAUGGGGUUUUCCCUAUAGAUGUUAAGAUUCGUUUCACUAUUCGGUUUAGGCUUGGAGAUUAUCAGUUGGGGCAUUCCCAUCCCAGAGGUAUAUGUGAACUCAAAGUUCCUUUUACUUCUGAUGGGGAAAAGGUGGCUCCGUUUAACCCCACAAAGUGCCAAAUUGACUUCUGAAUUAUGUACCAGAGAGACUCACACACGCAUUUGUAUGGUUUUUUACCAUGGGUUAUAUUUUUUGGUUUUACUAAAAUGCAAUCUGUUUAAAAAAAAUUACAAAUUUAGGCAAGUCGUGUUAAUUCGGCACAACUUCAUAUGCAGAAAUCGUUUUUGCACGACUUUUAUCCCGUCAUACUGAAGUCGUGUCUAAUUGGCACAACUUCUGCCCCGUCAUAUUGAAGUCGUGCCAAGUUGGCACGACUUCUGCCACGUCAUAUAUUUUUUUUAAUUUAUUGUUUAUAUAUUGGAUAGUAAGUUAUGUAAUGUUAAAAAUUAAUUUGAUAUAUAAUUUUCUAAGAGUGUUAGUUUUAAGAAACAAAAAAUUGGAUAAUCGUGUAUGGAUCAUGUUUGACGGUAAUGUAAUACAAUAACUUGAUUAUUUGAUUAAUUAAAAAAUGAAGAAAAUUGUUAUUGAAUUUGGAAAUAAAUAGAUAAAUGAAAAAUUAUUAUAUUUGGAAAAUAAAUAGAGAAUUAUUGUUGUAAAUUUGCAAAAUAAAUAGCUUGAGAAGUAAUGAUUUUUCAAAACACGUAAUGAUGAUAAUAAAUUAAUUUUUAACAUUACAUAACUUAUUACCCAAUAUAUAAACAAUAAAAUUAAAAAUUAUGACGUGACAGAAGUCGUGCCAAGUUGGCACGACUUGAGUAUAAUAGGGCAGAAGUCGUACCAAGUUGACACGACUUUAGUAUGACAUGGCAGAAGUCGUGCCUAAUUUGGACGACUUCUGCAUAUGAAGUCGUCCCAAUUAGGCACGACUUGCCUAAAUUUGUAAUUUUUUUUAAACGAACCCCAUUUUAGUAAAAAAAAAACUCAUCAUGGUAAAAAAAACCCAUUUGUAUAGUGAUAAAUUAUAUAAAUUUAUAAUAUUUUUAUAACUUGUCAUUACGAGGAACAAAAUUAAUAGGUUGGAUAAAUUUUAAUUAAAAGUAUAAAAUAAAUUUAUGAAUUUUUAGCUUCUUAAUAUCGUCUUUGUUCUCAUGAAUUCGUAUUAGAAUUGGAUUGAAAACAUUAAAAAAAAAGUUGUUUAAAUUUUACAUUUCAAUGAAGUGUUUGAAACGUGUUCGAGAUUCAUGCAUAUCAAUGUCAAAUUAAAGAGGUGUGUUCGAUAUUCAUUUAUUAUUACAAUGUUUAUUUCUUCUGAAAUUUUUUAAUUAAGAAUGAAUACGAGAUGUUAUCUUGUAUAGUGUUUUGGUAUUCGUUUUGAAUAGUUGACUAACUGGGGAUCAGUUUCAUUAUAAUUAAUGGUGUUUAAUAUAAUUAUAAAUACAUUUUUUUAUACUUCAAGCAAUAGGUUCUACAAGCAUUAUUUUUUGUGAUUUCGUGACUCAUUAAAAUUGUGUUGAUUACUUCACAUUUUUCAACUAGAUUUGUUUUGAAGAUAGCUUUACAAUGUUUGAUUUUUUUGAAAGAAUUUGAAAUGUUAAGACUGUGAAAGAAGUGAACUUGAAUAUUGCAAAUAAAAGGGGAAAUAAAUAAAUAAAUAUAAAAGGGAAUUUUGAAAGAGAUUAUAUUAAAUUGAUGGUGGGUGGGAUAACAUAUAUGUGAAAAAAAAUUGGAUGGAAUAACUAUUAUUAAAGAAAGAUCAAUAAUUUUCAUGCAUUAUUAUUAUUCUUACAUUAAAUCUCGAAAAGUAUUGAAUUUAUAAGGUUUAGAAGGAGUAUCUAAUUUCUUAUUAUUAUUUUAACUAAAGAAUCACUAUUUUAUUACCCUCAUAUAUAAAAUCUUGAAGCUUGUCUCAAUCAUCGAAUUCACAAGAUAACAUAGAAUAACUUUUAAAGGAAUUAGCAAUAUAUUUUCUAACGUGUUCAUUUUAUGCGUAGUUUUCUAUUAGCCAAUUGUUUUUUAAAAUUACAAAAAUCAAAAUAGAGGUAGAUGGAUAUGGGCUUUAAUGUGGUCAGGUAAACAGAUGGCCCAUCUCCUAGUGGGUGAUUGCUAUUCUCACAGUCCUUUUAUCCAUUUCUGCACCCCCCUUGUUUUAUUUUAACAAAAGUAAUCUUGAUGGAAACACAUUUUUGUGUGUCUAUAAAUACAUAAUAAAAAAAACUAGUUUUGUCUUCUAUGAAAAUAUAACACAACGAAACUUCUUAUCAAUUGUAUGAAAAAUUUAGGGUAAUGUACAACUUUAUUUCUAUAACUAUUAAUUCUAAAAUUUCGAUUUUGUCCUCUAUUUUAAUUUAUUUUUUAUUUUUUGUGACAUAUGCCACAAAGACCUCCUAAUUAUGAUCAACAUUUUAAUAAUACAAUUAUUUAGAAUUACACAAUAAAAGGUCUAUAAAUCAUUAUUAACAAUUUUGUUGUAGAAAAAUCUUUGCUGCAGAGAAUCUGUGUUCAAUAUUUUCAAGCAACUAAUCUUUGUUUAUAAAAUGACGUGUAUUUCACGUAAUAACUAGUUUUUAAUUUAACUUUAACAAAUGUAAAUAAAUUAAAUUAAGGGGAAAAUAUUUUUUUUAAUGUUGCAUAUAAUUAAUUUCAAAGUGGUCAAGAUUUCACGUAAAAAAUGUAUUCAGGGAUAGAAUUACUUUUUUGUAAAUGUAAUUAAAAUUGAGAUUUGUAAAUUUAGAAUCCUUGCAUAUAAGGACACUUUAAUACAGAAAGAAAAUCUUAUUUUUUAUUUUUUUAAAACAAUUAAUAAUGAUAGUUUAGAAAACAGGAAAACAAGUGUGAAUAACAACAAAGUCGCCUAUUAAAAAAAAAAGACGACAUGCGUAGCUAAAUUAUCUAUCUAGUACCAUUUACACUUUUAUUUCUCCAAUUAAUACUCUUUUGUUUUUAUUUUAUUAUCUAGCACCUUUUUGUUUUUAUUUCUCUAUCUAACACUCUUUUAUUUUUUAUUUUCCUAUCUAGCACUAUUUCAAAAAUAAAUAAAUAAAUAAUAAAUUAUUAUUUUUUUAUAAUUUUAAUUUUAAAUGCAUUAAAAAAUAAAUAUUUUUAAUGUUUGAAAUAAUUAAAAAUAUAAUUAAUGAAUAAAGAAAUGAGUUUUUACAAAAUAAAAAAAAAGGUAAUAAAUUUAAAAUGUUUAGUUUAUUUUUUUUUUAAGAAUGAAGAAAAUGAAAAAUUAAACUCUACAACAACAUAAAAGUUGAAUCUAUAAACAUAAUAAAUUAAUAUUUCUUUUUAUUAUUAUUGAUGAUGUAAUCAUAUUAAUUUCAAGUAAAAAAUAUAGGACAUAAUUAUAAAAAAACUAAGUUGAAUAAGGACUGAUAUGGACAUAAGAGAAUAACAUAAUCGAACAAAAAAAUAUUCAUAUUGUCAAGCACCAAGACACACAUAAAAAAUUUGUCCCAACAUGACUGGAUUGUGCACUUCUCGUUAUUAAUUGAGUUUAAUUUCACACAAAUUAUUUAAUGUAUCAUUGAAGAAAAUAUUAAAUGAAUGAUCGUCUUUCAUUUUUUUUUUAUGAUCAACCUAUACUUAUUUAGUAUCGCCUUAUGUCUCUUAUUUUUAUCUCUUUGAAUUUUUUUUUAUAUCUUUUAUCUUUAUCUUAUUUUGUUUUGCCUUUAUUUUAUAUCUUUUAUGUUUUUAGUUAUUAUUAUCUUUUUCUGCCAUUCUUUAUUUAUUUCUAUUUUUUGUUUUUAUUUUAUUUUUGUUGUUUUUAUUUUCUAGACUUAUUUAUUUUUACAUUUUUUUCUUCUCAUUUUUCAGCAUUAAAUGUAACAUUUGCAUUAGUUUUUUUUAGGAUGUUGCAUUUAGGGUAGACACUUCAAUAUUAUUUGUGUGUCCACUAUUAAUUAAUACUAAUUGACUUUGGUCUUUUUAUAAUUAUGUCCUAUAUUUUUUACUUAAAAUUAACAUGAUUGCAUCAUCAAUAAUAAUAAAAAUAAAUAGUAAUUUAUGUUUAUAGAUUCAACUUUUAUGUUGUUGUAGGGUUUAAUUUUUUAUUUUCUCCAUUCUUAAAAAAAAUAGUUUUAAACUAAACAUUUUAAAUUUAUUACUUUUUAUUUUUAUUUUGUAAAAACUCAUUUCUUUAUUCAUAAUUAUAUUUCUAACUAUUUUAAACAUUAAAAAUAUUUAUCUUUUAAUGUAUUCAAAAUUAAAAUUAUAAAAAAAGAUUUAUUAUUAUUUUAUUUAUUUUUUAAAUUUUGUUAGAUAGGAAAAUAAAAAAUAAAAGGAUGCUAGAUUGGAAAAUAAAAAUAAAAUAGUGCUAGAUAGAGAAAUAAAAACAAAAGAAUGGAAGAUAAAGAAAUAAAAAUAUAAAUGGUUUUAAAUAGGAAAUUUAGGUACGUGUGUAUAUAUUAAAAUUAAAGACUGUAUAAAAAUUGAAAUAAUCUUUAUAAUUUUUUUCACGCGGUUACUUCAUUUUUUAAAACCACUUUCCUUGAAAAAAGAGCAUGUCAUUUAAAUACAUAUUUAUUGUAUUUUCAAACAAUUUUCUAUUGAGUCUAUAAUAUAAGAAUUCACUACAAUUAGUUAUACAUAUUUUAGAAAUUUAUUUUUUUGAAUUGAUAUAUAUAACUUUGGUAUAUUUAAAAUUUUGUAUAACUAAUGCAAAUUCAUUAAUUUUAAAAUUAAAUAUUAUCAAUAGUUUACUUAUGGGAACUCUAAAAUCAUGCUAUUUUGGAAGCAAGUUGACUUGCCUCCAAAAGUUCAUUCUUUCACCUAACAUGAUUGUGAUAGAAGAAGGAAAAGAAAGUGGAGUUAACAAAAUAAUAUCAAAAGACAAAAUUUAUUUCAAAAGAAUAAUUAACCAAUUAAGAAAUAAAUUGGGAUCUGUAACAUAGAAACAAAACAUUGAAUGUAAAAUUACACAAUUUUAUAAAAAAUUAUUUAUAUUAAUUGUUUUCAUUCUUGCUUAAUUUUCCUAAAGUGGUUAGUUACUGUUGAAGUUGGUCUAAACUUCAGCGUCACGAUCGAAGUCACUAACGAAGUCACGCGCUUCAAGCUCUUCACACGCUCUCACUCAUAACACCUUAUCAAAGAGAAACUUCCCUUCACAAAACCACGCGCUUUCUCUCUCUUCACUCCAAUUUUUUUUUUUAUAUAUAUAAUUAUCUUCAAUUUUAUCUUCCCAAAUUAGUCUACCAACGUUCCAAAAAUUCAAAUCGCUUCACUUCUCUCUGCGCUUCUCAAUGUCGCAACUGAACGGCGCCUACUACGGCCCCUCGAUUCCGCCGGCGCCGAAAUCCUACCGCCGCCCGUCCCGCGGCGGAGGUGGGUGCGGGUGCCUGAGCUGCUGCUGCGGGUGCAUCUUCAACUGCAUCAUCAGCCUCAUCUGCAAGAUCCUCACCACCGUGCUCAUCAUCGCCGCCGUACUCGCGUUUCUCUUCUGGCUCGUCGUGCGCCCCAACAUCCUCAAAUUCCAUGUCAGCGACGCCUCACUCACGCGCUUCGCGUUCUCCAAUAACACGCUCCACUACAACCUCGCCCUCAACGUCUCCAUCCGCAACCCCAACCGCAGAGUCGGCGUCUACUACGACCAAAUCGAAGCGCUCGCUCUGUACGAGGAUGUGCGAUUCGCCUCGCAGACCCUGGGGCCUUUCUUCCAGCACACCAAAAACACCACAUUCAUCAGCCCCCUCUUCGAGGGCCAGCGCGUGACGCCACUCACCGCCGACCAGACCUCCCAGUUCGACAAGGAGAACAGCGCCAGAGUUUUCUCCAUCGACGUGAAGCUCUUCAUGACGGUUCGGUUCAAAUUCCUCCUCUUCAAAAGCCACACUGUGAGACCCAAGAUUCGGUGUGAGAUGAACGUGCCGCUGAAAUCGCGUAACGCAACAACCUCCCUGGACGCUGCGUUUAAGGCCACGGAAUGCGAUUGGGAUUACAAACGGUGGUGGAUCCGUUGAAUUUCAUUUUAUUCCGUUCGAUUUUUCUUGCUUCUUCAUCUUGGUUUUCGGUGAUGUAUAUUUUCUUGAUCACAUUUAUUCCCAAAUUGAAUCCUACCAGAUCCAUUUCUUAUCAAAUUUUUUUUAUAUUCUUCAUAAACGCCUCAAUUUCACACUAUAAAUUUUUAGGCUUAUUAUUUUAGUCUUCAAAAUAGGAUAAAUCUUUGUUUUACAAAUCUUAAGAAUGAGAAAUUUUCCUUACGGUAUCAUAGUAUAUUUUGGCACUUCUCAGAUUAUUUUCCCCGAAAUUCUCAUAUCGAUAGUGUUUACUAUUCACAGCGUUUAUUUUAGAGAAAAGAUAUUUUCACACCCUACCUUUUUUACAACCCUAAAUAAGAAUAAGAUAUUAAAUUAAAUUACAAAAUCUAAAUUUAAUAAUAAACUGUAAGAUAGUAGUAUAAAUUUAUUUGGUUAUAAAAAAAGGUGUUAUUUGUCAUUUUUACUGUUUAGGUAAGGAAAUCAUAUAAUUUUAUAUAAUAAAUAUUAAUUAUAUAUGUUGUUUCCGUAAAUACUUAUAACAAUGUAUUAAUAUGAUAUUAUGUUAUUUAUAGUUUUUCUUUGUGUAUGAACAAAUAUCUCUGUUAUAAACAAUACAAAUAUUAAUAUUGUGUUUACCAAUUAUGUAUAUGCAUCAAUAUUCUACUCAUUUUUUUAUUAUAUGCUUACUCAAUAUUUUAUUCAUUAUUUUUGUGAUAUAUUUACUAAUUUUUUUUUUCAUUUUCAUAUCGAACUUGAUAGACAAUUUCUCAUCUUAUUUUUCAUUUUGUGAAGGAGGAUGUAUGGUAUGGAUCAAUCACAACCAUAUUUGUUAAAACAAAUAUUACAUUGUAAAUAAAAUGUAGUAAAUAAAAAAAACAUAAAAGUAUUAAAUUAUAAAUAAUAUAUAAGUGAUUGUUUGCCAUUGUAAAAAAAUUUAAAUGUUUUUCCAUAAUAUUAUGAUAUUCAUCAGGUGUGAUAUUGACAUCGUCAAUUUAAUCAUCGACAUUCAAUGUUGACAUAUAUUAAGAAAAAAAAAUAUAUUAAUAUUAAGUCAUUCUCAUAAAUAUAUUGUAUGAUUUUUUCUUAAAAAAACUACUAAUAUUUUUUUUUUGUUAGUGUGACAAAUGACAUAAAACAAUUGCUUACUCGUAUCAAUUAAAGAAUGUAAAUCAAUAAUAAAAAAAACAAAAAUCAUUGUUUAUUGCAAAAAAAAUAGAAAAAAAAUUAUGAAGAACCAUAAGUAAAAUGUACAAACUUACGAGGGAUAAAAUGUUUCCUAGUAAAAAAAAAACUUUAAAUUAAAGGGAAAAUCUAACUACUCCAAACUUCAAUCAUAAAAACCAUGAAAAUAAUAACAAAAAGUAUGUUUCAUCCAACACAAUGAAAUAAAGGGAAUCACUAAUUGAAAACAAAUCAUGGAAGCAAAAUGUAACAUAUAUAUUUGCUAAUGAAGCUAAGUACAAUUUUUUUUAAACAAUUUUCAAUGUCAAUUAAGUAUUUCUCUAAUGGAAAGUUACUUCAAGCAACUACUACUUUAUUCAAACACUUAAACACUUGAAUAGCCAUUUUCUAUAAACACUUAAACACUUGAAUAGCCAUCUUCUAUAAACACUUAAUUUGUAAGAUUCUUUAAUUCAACUUACUUAUUUUCUUUUUAAUAUUUUGAAGGAUCAUAGAGCUUGAUAACUAUUAAGAUAUAAUAUGUUUUGUCUCAACCCAUAGUUAGCACAUAAUCCGAAUAUAUAUAAAAAAAAUAGUUGAAAAAGUGUAAAAAUAAUAAUAUAGCAUACAAUCAAAAUGAGAAAUGACUACGUGUCAACUACUUUUUUUAGUGAUUUGUUUCGUCUUAUCGUAACCCCAAUCAAGCAAUUGAAUAUGCAAAAUUGAUUUUAGUUUUUUAUAUAUUUGUUUGUUCCUUUCUUUUUAUUUUCUAGUAUAUAUUAUUCUUGUUUACUUUGAUGUUGUGAAGAAUUAUAUUGUUGAAUAAUUAUAAUAGUGUUUAUAAAAAAUUAGAUGAGUGUAAGAUGCAUAUUUUAAACAUUUUUACGCAUUUCUAAAAUUCAACAUGAAAAAUUUUCCUAGAUUUGUGGUCUAAGUUGUGAUUUUUUUUUUAUGGGCAAUAACAAAUAUAUAAAUGUGAACCAGUUUAGGGGUGAAUCAAUCCUUAUACAAUAAAUACAUAAUCCAACGUCACCUUAAAAACUUAAAAAACAUCAAAUAACCAAACGCAUACAUUCCAAAGGUUCCAAACACCAACUGGAAAAGGAAAUCGAAGUAGUGCGAGAUUUUGCAUAAAUCCAAGACCAAACCUUUGCUUGCAUCAGGGUACAAACUUCAGACGCGUCAGUCACACCCAUGUUGAAAAUAAUAGAAUUUCUGUGAUUUCAUAUUUUUCCACGACCCGACCAAGUUGUAAACAUAAACAAAGUAUCUUUAUCCAUACAAUAUUAUUAUUAUUAUUAUUAUUAUUAUUAUUAUAUAAAAUGAAAUGAAAGGGUAAAAAAAGGUUAGGGGAAGAGAAGAAAUUCAAUUGAAUGCGCUAAGAAGAAGAUAAAGAGCUAAAAUAUAUAGGUGUUGAUCCCUUAACACUGCAAUAAAAAAGACAGAGACACCUUACCAUAUGAUGAGACUUUUGUUGCAAUAUGAAACACUUGUCAAAUUUGUGAGAGACAAAAAUAAUAGAAGAAUCAAUUGAAAUGAAAGUGAGAAAGGAAAUGGAAAUGAAAAUGGAGAAGAAACCUAACCUUGAAACAUAUAAAGUUUUGUCUGAACCUACGUGAUGUUGAUGAGAGAUGCAAUGAGAGUGAAAGAGGUUAUAAGAGAGUACUUAAUACGUUAAGUGGGGGAAGGUAGGAGUCUCUUUAGAAAAAUUUGGAAAGUGAAGGUUAUUCCAUCAACACAAUUAAUAGCAUGACGAGAUAUACUUUGGAGUGUGUCAACAAAAUACAACUUUUAUAGAAAGGGAAUAGAGUUAGAUGACACCCUGUGUCAUGUGAUGUGUGGAGAGGGAGAGAAAAUUAUUUCUCCGGAUUAUUCAGAUAGUUUGGAAUACAUGUUAUAAGUGAUUGAAUGAGCUAACAAUCCAACAUCAUGAUUUAAAGUUUCAUUUUCAACCGUUUAAGUCUAUUAGGAUAUCAAAACAUGCUAAAUCAGUGUGGGGUUGUGUGGAUUGUUGUUUUAAGUUAAACUUGGAGAUAAAUGAAUAAUGUAAUGUUUAAGAAUGUCACAUUAUAUCUUAUGGAAAUCUUGAUUCUUGUUCAAUUAAAGACAUGAUUUUGGAUAACUAGUAAAGAAAGAUUAAUUGACUUUAAUUAUUUCAAAUGUUGCAUUGACCCGUGUUCUAAACAAUAGUAUUGGCGAUCUCUCAAAUCUAGAACAUGUAGUUGAGCUCGGUUAAACUUUGAAGAGAAUCCACCUGCAGAAGAUACUCUGACGCUCAAGUCAGUAAGAACAUAAAAUAUAAUGAGUAUAAUGUAAAAUAUGAGUUGAAAGUACCCAUUUGAUGUUGUGUAUUAGAUAAUCUUUUGUGUAGUGUGAAAUCUUGUAUAUAUAGAUUGAGUUGUAACCUCUUAAUCUUUAGUCAUGAUUCUGUCUUAAAGUGAAUGAUUAAGACUAAUUGAUUGAGAUCCCUUAACUAGUGUUCUCUCAUAACGUUAGAUACACAAAUCAAUAAACGACUCAUAAAUGACCAAAUAUCAGAUCAGACCCAUGACCUUACAACUUUUUUGAGCUGUGUGAUUACAAUAACAUGUUUAGUCUAAGUUGUAUGUAAACUCUAAUUUGAUGCUUAGUUACAAGGGUUAGAUUCGUGCUUGUUGUUUGUGAAAUGCAGGUAAGCUUGAUGUUUUAGUUUUCCUACAUAAAAUAUGGGUUAGCUUUCAUACAUAAAAAUAUGAAUAUGUAGGUAAAAUGAUACAAAUGUUAGUUUUAGUUUUUAAAUAAAAGGGAGAGUACAGAUGAAAAUGCAUUCUGAAAUUGGUAUUUUAUAAUACAUUUUUAUUUGAAUUUUCAGAAACUUUUUUUUUGGAUUUCAGAUUUUUUUGUCAAAAUUUUCAGAUUUUGUUUUCUAAUUCUAUUUUAGAAUUUUAUUUCUAAAAAAAAUCUAUUCCAAUUUUUUUAAAUGUAUUUCUUAAUUCUGGAUUUAAAAUUGUGGAAUGAAAAACAAUUUUACAAAAUCGAAAAUUGAUUAGUUGAUGGUAAAAAUAAUCGGCAACAGGGCCUAAAUAUAAAAGGGAGAGUGUAAGAUAUAAUUACCCAGUACAAAUAAAUGUUUCCGAGUCCAAAAAAAUGAGUAAGGGGCCCACUAAUAUAAGAAACCGAUUCUUUUAAUGAAAUAAAAGAAAACGUUUGUAAGUAAAAACAAAAACAAAAACCAAAAGAAGAAAAGGAAAAGCGUACAAUGAUGCUUUUAAGAAAGUGCAAUGAAGUGAAGAGAGAGAAAGAGAAAGCAAGAACCUCACUCUUUAACUCAAAACAGAAGGAUAUUUAAAUAUUAAAGAAAUGUUGCCAUUUUUAAUUUCUAACAAAACAUUAAAAACUUUAUUCUAAUUUUAUUUUUUUUAAACCUUAUUACACGAAAAUACUAAAUAACUUUUUAAUAACAAAAUUAAGAGAAAGUUCAAAGUCAACCAUAAAAAGAGUAGUUGUUUUUCAUUAAUUUGUCUGAAGAAACCGUGAAUUAACAUUAUUAAUAUGAAAUAGGAAGAAUAGUUUCCAGUAUUAAUAAAUGCAAUUUUAAAUAUAUAUUUCUUUAUUUAGUUUAAGGUAAAGAAAUCAUAUUAAGCAACUUUAAGAACUUUUAAGAUAAAACUACGUUAAUUUUAUUAUUAACUUUAUUUUUUAAAACAAGAACAUAUACACAAGAUUUCUUUCACUAGAACAAUUGUAAUCCUUUCAUGAUAUCCUCCUACUUCUUUUAUUAUUUUGAAGUACAUAAACACUAAACAUUUAUUAUUUAUUUUGAAGGCAUUGAAUACAUUAUUUUUCAUUUAAUAUAAUUUUAUAGAGCAUUAAUCAUGACACUAACUUAUUAUAGCUAAAAGAACGUAAAAAAAAAUGAAGUACAUAAACGGCUAAGGUAGCAUUUAAUUUACAAAGAAAUUAAUUUAGUUGUAAGUUUGAAGAUGUAGGGUUUUUUCCUUGCUAUGGUAAUAGUCCCCUACGAAUUUUGUAUAGAAACAAUGAAUGCUAUUAAAAUGAGUGACCCCCAAAUUCAAGCACACUUCACUAGUAGUAGUAUAGUAGCAGUAAUAAGCACUUUUCCUAUUUUACACAAACUUUCCCUUUCUUCUCCAAUGUGGGAUUCAUCAUUCAAUAAGUCUAAUCUAAAUCUUAAUCUUAAUCUAAAUCUUAAUCUAAAUUUAACGCAAUCUAAGCAUUCUAAAUUACAAUGUUAAUACCUUUUCAUAGGUGGUGGUGUUUAACCAUAACAACUGAGAGUGUGUCAGAGUCUGAAACGACUCAUCCAUUGCCGUCGUUUUCAUCUUUACGAUACUCCUCGUGACUGGGCGAAGCGUUGGGCGUGUAGUACGGAGGUGAAGCACACGGCGUCGAAAACGGCGUCGUUUCGUUCAACAACUCUUCAACCGCGAUGGCGACGGCGACCUCGUCCACCGCCACGCGCUCACUCACCCACCUUUUUUUGUUACACUCCACGGACGAACCGUUACCGUUAUCGGACUCGACCUCUUCUCUGUCUUCCUCCUUGAUGGUGAAGAGCACCCUGGAAGGACCGUUAAGACAGUGCCACUUCAUCACGUGCUGUUCCAGCUCCAGGUCCACGUCAUCCUCGCUCGGAGAAGACGAGGUAGAACAGUGGUGCGAAGGCUCCUGCGGCUCCACGCGCACGCGUGGACGGAGCCUCUCACGCCGUUGCCACAGCACGUAGACGAUCUCCGCGGCCAGGGCCACCAGAGUAACGGCCGUUACCGCCAUUAUCGCUGUUCCGAGCUUGCUGAGACCCAUCAUGGUGAGAGAGAAAAAAAGCAGGAGAAGGUGGUUUUUUGCGGUGGGUGGUUGCUCUGUUUGGUUGCAAAAGCCAAAAGGGUGUAAUUGGAAAUGAAGGUUUUAGGCGAAAAACUGAUCGAAAAAAGAAAAAGAAAAGAGAAAGCAAGGUUAGAUAGAUAGAUGGUCUCUGUGUUGGGUUUGCAGGUUAGGUUUAAAGGUGGCAGAUGGAUAGUUGGACAGAAAACGAUGUGUUUUCCUAGGAAAUCUGCUCUUAAUUAUUGUACUCUCACUUUUAUUCUUUUUUUAUAUAAAAAAAUAAAUUUAAUGUACUUAAAAAAAGAUAUUGAAUUUUUUUAACAAAAUCUUAUAUUUAAAACUUUUAAUAGAAAAAUAAUAUAAAUUUUAGGAUGACCCUUAAAUUCAUAUGUCGUUGCAAUUUAGGUUUUUUGAAUGAUGAAUUUAGCAUACUUUUAUGAUACUCUCUCAUGGUUAACAUUUAUUAAAAAUAAAAAGUUAUGCAAUAAUGUACGUUUUUAUGAUUCUAUACUUCUGAAAAUUUUCAAUAAAAAAAAUUAAAAAAAUUACAGUAUUACUAGCUCUUAUGCGGAUGAUAAAUAAGUGUUCUCAUUAAUAUAUUUCUCAAUAUAUGAAAGAUGAUGUAAAAGAAAGGUAACAGUUAGUAAUGCAAAUAAGUCUAAGUUGCUUACGUAAAACACCGUGGAAGUAAUGAUAAUACAUCAAAACUAUUCAAGUGCGUAUUCACAUUAAAUCUUUUUAUUUGAGUUAUAAAUAAUUGUAUGAAAGACUAAGAUUAGGAUAAAUCAUGAAUGAGAACUUUUAAUUUGUCAAAAAUAAAUAUUUGCAUGAAAAAUAUUUUGAAAAAAAACUCCUCCUAAGAUUUAUUUAAUGCUUUCAAAUAUUUGAAAUUUUUCUAAAAAAGUUGGCAAUCUCACACCUAGAAAAUUCAAUAUAGUCAAGAAUGUGUCUAUUUUUUAAUUUACGUGUAAUAUGUCAUUUUUUAUACUAUAUUAUCUGAUAUAUAUAUAUAUAUAUAUAUAUUAAAAGUAUUUUCUAUCCAUUUUGUAUUGGAUCUUGAUAUUUGAUCUAAUUCGACAAUAAAAACUAAUAUUUAUAACUUUUUGAUGUGUGAAUAUCCACAAACGAUCUAUUAUUACGCAACAUCGAAUUAGGUCUAUGAUAUUACAGUCUCAUUCACUCAAACAUAAACCAAUAAAAAAUUAAAUGACGCUAUAGUAAUAUAUUCUUUAAUCAAAAUUAAGAUUUGAUUUUAGUAAGUUAGUAUUUUGUUGAGAAGAAAGGGAUAUAAUAUUUUGUGUUUUGUGUGAAAGUGAUAAAAAAAACUGAAGUUGGUGAUGAUGAUAAUGACCCAUAACAGCAUCUCAAAGUUCCGCUUUUGGAACAUGCCCACUGUUGAAUCCUGCUCACCAAUUAUUCUAUGCCUACACAUGUUUGAGAAACUUACAUCUCAAAGUUCACUAUUUUUCAUAACUAUGCUUUCUCUUUAAUCAUCAACUCUUCCACACUUAUACAAUACUUCUACAAUUUUAAAUUCAUGUCUGAAUAAACAUUUUUUAUAAAAAUAAUAUAUGAGAAGAUAUAGUUCCAGAAGUACAUCCAAUAUAUUAUACAUUAAAUAACUAAGAAUGAAUAAAUUUAUAUUAAGGUUUUACGUGUAACAAAAUUAACUUUAGGAUUUCUCGCAUUUUUUUUUACAGAAAUGUAUGUGCGGAGAAAAAUGUUAUGAAAGGAUAUAUAAAUGAAUAAUAUAUAGAAUAUAUAAAUAUCACCUUCUAAAAUGUUAAAUCCAACCACAUAACAUAACAAGAAUAUUUAAAAAAAAAUGUUGAAAGGAGAAGGAUACUCAAAAAAGGCAAUUGAAUGAAUUUUGAACCUGGUACUCAAUCAGUUUUAGAAAUUUCAAUUGCUCUUCAUUUUUGGAAUUAGAAAUCUGGAAUUAAAAAAUAUAUUCUAGAAAAGAAAUUCAAAAAUCAAAAGUUUGAAAAAAUGUUGUGAAAAUCUAAAUUCAAAAAUAUAUUCCAAAAAUUCAAAUCCAAACAAAUCUGAAACAAUAUUUUGAAAAUCUAAAUCCAGAUAGUAUUUCAGAAAUAAUAAAAAUACAUUUUUCGCCACCUUCCACUCCUAUUUAAAAAUUAAAAAAAAAAGAUUUUUUGUCAUUUUAAGUAAAGGAUUGAAUACAAGAAUCAAUUCUCCUAAAAAAAGCCCAUAUGUUGAAAAAGCCCAAUUUCUGGUUGUUUUUCAUUUUGGGCCAGGGACCGUAUUUAGUGGAAGAAGGAUUGGAUUGGGUUUCAUCAAGUGUGAAUAUUAUUACGCUAUUAGAAAAAAAGUUAUCGAUUGAUUAUAUAUGAAAAAACAAGGUCAAAUGAUUUUUCUUUCUUCAAGUCGUUUUUCAAAAUAUAGUGGAUUAAGUUCACUUUGAUCUUUACUAUAUUAAAUCUUUCACUAUGUAUUUUGAUAUUACUUUUUAAUAUAUAUAUAUAUAUAUAUUUAUUUUUCUAAAAAAAGAUAUAGUUUUAAAAUGUUCGCAUGGUUGAUUUUUUUAUUUGUACAGAUUAUUGUUAAAGUAUUUAUUAUAGAAAUUAAUAAUCUUAUCACAUAUAUGAUAAUCUAUGACUACAUAAUAAUAUAAAAACUACUCUAUUAAUAUAUUAUAAUGAGAUUCUUAUUUUUUAUACAAAAAUAUGGGUUUAAGUGAGAAUGUGUGAUGAAAUUUGGACAGAAAUAAGUUUAGUUAAUUAAAUUUCUCAUUAAUUUUUAAAUACUCAUGUGUGAGAGGAUAUAUAAAUUAAAUCUAAAAUAAUUUUUCAACAAUCUUAAACCCCUUGCGCCAGAAUAUAGUUGUUUACGGUGGCAGAGACAUUUUUUAGAAUGAACGAGGCAUAGAAAACAAACGCAAUAAAACAAAACUAACCUCAAAAUCAAUUUGCACUCGUAUUCCAAUUCGAACUCCCAAUCGAAAUAAAUCGCAAUCGUUAUCGAAAUCUCACAACAACUUCAAAUUCCCUCAAAAUCAUUUUACAUUUGGGAAUAGACGUUUUCCAAUUUUAUAUGUAAAAGUCGUUUAGGGUUUAGGGCUUAGAAAGAUGAGGGGUGUUGUUAGAAAAUUCUUUGUGUUGUUUGUGUGGAAAGGAGGAAGAGUCCUAUCGUCACUUGUUUUUCGACUGUAUUUUUGCUUGGCAGGUUUGGUGUUUCUGUUUCAAGUGGCUAGGAGUGUCAUUCGUGUCUCAUAAUGAUCCUAAGUCAAACUUUGCCCAAUUUAGGAUCAAUACGUCCUCCGAUUUGAUUAAUGUUGUGUGGAAUACAAUUUGAGUGGGGGUGUGGGAGAAAUAUGAAAUCACAGAAAUUCUAUUAUUUUCAACAAGGGGUAUGACUGACGCGUCUGAAGUUUGUACCAAAGGUUUGGUCUUGGAUUUCUGCAAAAUCUCGUACUACUUCGAUUUCCUUUUCUAGUUGGUGUUUGGAACCUUUGGAAUGUAUGCAUUUGGUUAUUUGAUGUUUUUUAGGUUUUUAGGUUCUUAGAGUGGACUAUAUUUUUGCCUGUUUGGUUUGGAGGGUACUGUUAGACGUUAGAUUAUGUAUUUAUUGUAUAAGGAUUGAUCCACACCUGAAGUGGUUCACAUUUAUAUAUUUGUUAUUUCCGAUAAAAAAAAAAACUUUCGAGUGUUGUCAUUCCAUUUUCGCAUUUCAUACUUAUGAUUGAAUUACAAUAUAACCUAGAAUACUGUUUAGCUAGAAUCAUUUCAUUAUUCCAUUUAUUAAUCCAAAAUUGACUAUUAUCUCAUCGUCCUACUUUCCUUUUGAUAUUGUUUUCAAACCAAUUUUUCUUAGAGCCCGAAUCACAUACUUUCUUCGUGUUCUUCCACUAUACCAAUUUACUCCGUUAUUUUGACAAUAAUAUUUUCCUCUCAUAACAAUUAAGGUUUGUGAAUUUGAACCUAGUGCAUGGCAUAAGAGCAUAAUUAUAUAUAUAUUCCGUUCAAAGUUAAGUUUGUUAUUAAGUAUUUAAGUUAGAGAAUUGUUAUGACACAAGACACGCAUAUAUGCGCUAGCUUUGGGACAGUGACCUAACAACACACAUCAAAAGCAGAAUUAUUCGUCUGUUUGAGAUCUAUUCCUCAGACACAUACACAAACAUUCUUGAUUUAAGAAUCGCGUGUGCUACUUCCACCAUCACAUGCAUUCUCUUUUGACCAACUCUUUCUACAUCUAUAGAGACCACUUGCACAUAUAUGCAUGCAUGCAUGAAUGGUGGAAACUAACAGCUAGAUAAUGGUGGUACCUCCAUGAUCAUCAUCGCUGACACCAUUCACCAAGUCUGCAAUAGCAGCACAUGAAAGUGCCUUGGAUCCCUCAAUCUCAUCACUUUCAAAUCAUAACUUAUUCCAAAGAGGACAAAGGCGCAGAAUAUGUGCGUUACUACGAAAAUCUACACAUCCAUAUAUAGAUUUUUGUAAGGGAAUUUUGGAUCCAAGACUUUCCCUUACUUUCAUGCAUGAAGUCAUGCACCCACAGAGACAAAAAGGAAGAGAGAAAAAUUAAUAAGUAAAGAGAGAACGGUAUAAUGAAUUGCUUUGGAUAGUGACCUUAGGCAAAAGAACCAAAUGUUUCCCCCCUUUCUUAAAGUCUGCGAAAGGCUACAAUGUGUGUGGAAACUUUGUCUCAAUCCUAAAUCCUUGUCUUUUGUAGAUGCCAAUACCCUUUUGUUCUUUUGGUGGGACUUAAGCAACAGUGUCUUUAGAGGGGCCUCUUCCUCUCUUCCCUUUUGUUCAAAACCGAGAAGACAUGGUAUACGAUGCCCUCUGUUCUUCGUUUCACGUGCUAUCAUUUUUUCUCUCCAAUCAAAACAUAGUAAUUACUAUAUAGUCUUAUACCUUAAUUACUGUUACAGAUAUACUGAACACAGAAUUUUACCCGUUCUUGAAUUUGUUAGAUGGAUAUCAUGUAAUAGUAUUUCUAGAUUUGUGUCUGAAUCGUGUGUUACAAGUAAAAAGCAACAUGCUAAGUUUUCUAAUUUCUAGGUUAUGAGAUGUUUACGUAAGAGUCACCCUUCCUAAAAGGCAUCUAUCCAUAUUAAUAUUACAGUCGAUAGAUCAAGGGACGUUUUGCUCUACUUUUUCAUAACACAGGAAUAAAGUUCACCCUAUCUUAAUUUAUUCAAAGAAUGAAAAUUGGAUAACUAAUCCAAUUUUUGAAUCAGACAUUAAUUAAUGAUCACAGAACUUGAAACUUUGUACCAAUAUAAUACAGAUGUUGAUUAAUUUUAUUCUCUCUCUCUCUGGAUCUUGUUAAGUAUGAAUUCACUCAUUACCAAGGAUUAGGAAUUCGGGAAACAUAUGCAGACAUUUUAAAUGAUCAUAAUAAGCAAGCUGCUCUAAACAUGAUUUUCUUCCAACUCUCCAUGAAGAUACUUGUAGAAAAAACUAACAUGAUGUAAAAUAUGUAGUCGCUUUUCGAAGUUGUUAUUGUUGUUGUUAAUUAUAUUAUGAUUAUUAGUAUCUUUUGCACAUUGUGGUAUGAUUCACUUAUGAUAUUACUUUGACUUCAGUGUAUUAAUAAUCUGUAGGUAUCACUGAUAAUUGAUGUGUUAUCAGGAAAAAUUAGUAUUCGGAUUAGACUACCAAGAAAACUUUGGUCAUAAAAAAACAUUAUUGGAAGGUGUUUGGUAAUUAGAGUAACAACGUUAGAGCAUGGUCAAAUCCAAUCAAUCUUAAUCACCUGCUGCCACUUUAUAAAGUUAUGUGUAUACGUGAGAAAGAUAAAAAAGAAUAUUUAAGGGAACUUUAUGAGAAACAAGUGGGAGGAGGAGGAGAUGGAGAAUUUGAAGAUGCAGGCACCAUUAUUUGAAGAAGGAAAGGAAGAUACAAUAAGAGUAGUUUCCAGAAAGUGGUUUAGGUAUUUAAAUUUGAUGGUGGUUAGAAAGAAAGGUUCGGAAAGUAAAGUGAAGGGCAAGAUGGGUCUUAAAGGUAGGGAAAGAAAAGAGAAAAAGAAGGGAUAAGAAUGGAGUCGUUGGGUCCAACAAAGUUUGGAAGGUCCUUGCUUAACCUAAUGAGUGUGUCUCUUAAUCAAACUAGGUUUUUGGUUGAAGUUCAUAGUUUCCUUCGUUUUUAUUUCUGAUUAUGGAAGAAAAAAUAAAUAAACGUGACUUACUUAAAGGUGGUUCAAUCCUUAUACACACUAUCAUCUAGAACUUCUAAUAUAGAAGGUUAUUACACUAACUAACACUCCUCAAAGACAAAAAAAAAGAAUUAAACUAACCUAAAUCGAUCAAUAAUUUUUAAUCGAAUACAUACAAAUUAAGAGUUUUAUACCAACAUUCGAGAAGAAGAAGUUAUAGGUCCUUGGUGACGCAACCCCUUUUGUUACCAUAUCCUCCAUUAAGACAAUUUUGGGUUGUGUAGUUGUCCUCAUGCGACAAGCAACUUGCUAGGGCUCCACCAACAAGGAUGACAGCAUCAAUUUAGUGGAACCAUUGGGAUCCAUUAACCCUUUUUAAACCCACCUCUGUUUGCAUGAGGGAUCAUCAGAAACAUGCCCUACAAAAACAAAGAUUUAUACUUUCCAUGUCUCAAACCAGACCCACACAAACUAAAGAUUUUCCUCUGAUUUUCUUUUUUCAUUCUUCUUUCUUUUAGGCUAAGCCAAACCUUCCACUGUACACAUAUGACAAAUCUGAGAUAAAGAGAAGAAAGACGUGACUUGACCAAAAAAGACUUCAAUUAGUUUUAUGAUUAUCAGAUGUUCAAAUGAUUUUCUUCAAAUAAUUACCACAUAUUUCUCAUCCCUUCCUUUUUCUAUACCACUCAAUAUUUAUCGUCAAUAAAUAAAUAAAUAGAGAAAUGUGAAUGAAUAACGACCCACUUUUUGAACAAAAUGGGUCUCAUAUGUCUCAAGCCCAAAUACCUUUUUCACUGCAUCUCACGUGGAUUUAUGUGUCGUCUAUGUCACGUCUCUUAAUUUUCUAUCACAAAGUUAAAUCAUAACUUCUAUGAAAAAUAAUUAAUAUGUAAUCAACUGUGAGUACCUAAGUUUGAUUUAUUGUGCUCUAACAUUUUUUUAUAUUUUUCUUUUAUCGACAAUAAAUAAAAUAAAUUAAAAAAAGCAUUUAAGAAAUAUUUCGUAUACAAAAUAUAGCCUAAAAGUCUCCAAACAACAUUUAGAGGGAAAAAAUACCAGUAUAAUAUAACAAUAUAAUAGGGCCUACAAACAAACAAAUUUUCUUUUUAUAUUUUUCUUUAUCAUCACAUACAGAAGCCUACUAUUAUAAUAAACCGUUGAAUUCGAAUUUUAUAGAUAAAAAAUAUAAUAUAAAUAAGAGAUAAGCGAACCAUGUUUUCUGACAAACAUUAUUCAGAAUAUAACAGGUAAAUCCUCCAUAUAAAUGAUAUAAUAUAAACAAAAAUAUAGUAAAACCUACUGUAAGUUUUUAUCAUGCAAAAUUAAGAACUAAUAAAAGACAGUUACAACAAUUUAAAUAAGAAUAUAUAGUUCUUUUAAAACAAAAAUCUAUUAUUAAACUAAUUCACUACAAUAAAAUCAUCAUAUAAAAAUGAAUUCUAUAAAAAUAAUAAUUAAUAAUAUUAUUUAAAUUAGAUACUAUUUUAUAAAUUAAAAAAAUUAUUAGUAUCUAAAGUAGUUUAUAUUAUUAAUAAAUAUUUUUAAAUUGAUAUUUAUUUAAUUACUAAUAUUUUAGCUAUCAAUUACUUAGAUUUUAAGGUUUAAGAGAACGUCCUCGUCUUUACUUAAUUAGAGUUCAAAUUGUCUUUUUAAAAAAAAAUAUCAAUUGAUCUUAUGUUAAGAUGGUUGAACGUGACUCAUAAAUAUCUUGUUCAUCAGUUGUAAGAUAUUCAAAAUAAUUUUACAAGAUUAAAUAUUAAGAUACCUAUUUGGUAGCAACUAAUUUAAAAGUUAUUGUAUUAGUUGCAAAUUUAAAAUGAGAAUAUCAUUUUAAAAAUAUAAUUUUAAAAAUCAUAAUUUUCAACAAGGAAGGAGUCUUUCUUUUCUAACAAAUAUUUUAAUUCAUGAAAAUCCUCCAAAAAUAAUAUAUCAAUAAAAAUAUUAUCAUGAGAUUUUGAACACCUUAUAUUUUUAAUACAACUCUUAAACUUUGACCGAUAAACAACAACUUCAAAGAUUAUCAAAAUCAAUAAUAUCUCUCUUAACUUCCACCACUACAAACAGGUAGCUACAACUCUUUUUUUUCUAAUAUUGAUUCCUAUAGAAUUAAAACAUCCCUAUUAAUUUAUUCUUUCAUUUUUAGCUUUAAAAAAAGAAAUAAUUGUAUACACUCUUAAAAGUAAAAAUGACAAAAAUAUUCGCACACAUAAUGGAAAUAUAUAAUAUAUAUUUAUCAGCAACACACAUAAUGGAUAUGAAUAAAAUUCACAAAGCCAAAGCCUAUUUGACGGGGCUUUUAAAUAAAAUUCCAUUACCCGAUAAUACAUGUUUAUCUUGAUCAUUAUACUAAAUUAGUGGAGGAUGAUAUUCUGACACAUAAAAUUAUAUAAAUAUUUUUAUAUUGAGGCAAUUGAUCCUUUUAAUUGGAAGUUUAUAUUAAUAAAAUGUUUUGAGAGGUUUAUAUUUUAGAUUCAUAAAAAUUAAAAUUCGUAACUUUGAGAUUGUUGAUAAAGAAAAAAUAUAUAUGAAUUUAAAAAUUUUCUAAUAUUGCUUAAUGUAGUUUACUAGAUUUUCUUACUUAUGUUUUAAGAGGAUAAUGUUUAUUUAAAUUUAUGUUAUUGAGUUCAAUUAAUUUGUAGUAAAAUCAUGUCUAAUUUUCUUAUUAAAAUUACUGUAAGUAGUAAUUUUUAUUUAAUAAAUUUUUAAUAAAUUUUAACCAAUAAUACAAGUAAAUUAAAAUGUAUGUUGCUAUCAUACACUACAAGAAAAUCAUGAAAUAUAAAUUAAUUUUUAGAGACCAAACUAUUUAGUUACAAUAGGAACUAAAAUAGAGACAAUUUUAUAAACUAAAAAAAAAUUGGUUUCUAAAUUAGUUUCUAUUAUUUUCUAUUAUUGUUAAAUAGUUUCUAAAUUGGUAUCUAAUUAGUAACUAAGGUUUUCACUACCCAUUAUUUAGUUUCUAAAUUUGGUAGCAAAAACAUUGGUUGCUAAUUAGAUACCAAUUUAGAAACUAUUUAACAAUAAUAAAAAAUAAUAUAAACUAAUUUAGACCCCAAAUUUUUUUUAGUAGUUUCUAAAAUGAUAUCUAUUUUAGUUACUAUUGCAACUAAUUAUUUUGGUUUCUAUUUCAUUAUUUUCUUGUAGUGAUAUUUGUGGUGUAAAUUGAUUAGGUCCCUUAAUUGAUUGAGCAUAAUAGUUACUAUGAUUUUUCUCAUAUGCAUUCAAUUCUUACAGAUGAAAAAACUAACCACAUAUCUCAAUCAAUCAUCAACACAAGAAUUAAAGCCAACAAAAGUAGGUGUAAUAAUAUAAAAUGAAAAGUUGGUGACAUGUAAUUUAAAAUGAAUAUUUGAAUUUAUUUAAUGCAUAAUUUAAACUUAAAAAUAAAGAUUGAUUCAACUUCAUAUAGUUUUUUUAACUUUUCAAGUUUUCCCCUUUUAACUUUUGCAUUUUCACUUAUUUUACUAUUAUACAUUCUUGAAAAAAAUAAUAAUUAAUAGACAUAGGGAUACUUUAAUUCUUAUCUAAGAAACUAAAAAAUACCAUCAACUUCUUUAAAAAUUAAACUUCAAAGCAAAUUAUCCAAUAUAAAGCUGCAAAACCAUUAUAUCUAUCUUCACAUCUUAACUACAAAACACUCUAUUACACCAUCUCAAUCCAAUUUUACCUUUCUUUUGCUACUUACUCACAAAUCUCUCACUACAAUAAAAUCAUAAAAUAAAAACUAAUUUAUAAAGACAAAAAAUAAUUAGUUGUUAUAGUGACUAAAUUAGAGAUCAUUUUAAAGACUAAAAAAUUUUUAGUUUAUAAAUUAGUUUCUAUUAUGGUUAAAUGAUUUAUAAAUUAGUAUCUUAUUAGCAACCAAGGUUUUUGCUACCAAUUAUUUAGAUUCUAAAUUUGGUAGCAAAAACCUUAGUUGCUAAUUAGACACCAAUUUAAAAGUCAUUUAACAAUAAUAGAAACAAAUUUAGAAAUCAAAUUUAUUUUAGUCUCUAAAAUAAUCUCUAAUUUAAUCAUUAUAACAACUAAUUUCUUUUGUCUCUACAAAUUAAUUUCUAUUUUAUAAUUUUUUUAUAAUGUCUAAUUUUUUAUUUUGAUAAAUUUCAUACGGACAAGGAGUUUGAAACACCAAUUAAAAUAAAAAAAAUACAUAUCGUGCAUGACUCAGACUUGAUUGGAAUUAACUUGUUUUAAAAAUUUUAAUCACGUACGUACUUUUAGUAUGUAAAGUGAAAAGAAAAAAAAAUACUCGUAUGUCGGUGGAUCUGAAAUAGCUGAACGCAAAUUCGAAUUUCGUAUAUUUUGUUGUUCACUACAGUAACAUACAUAAAAAGUGUAACAAAAAAAACACAUUGAAAAGUAAAAGUUGAUAUAGAGAAGCAAAGAAUUGGCCCUAUAUAAGAUCUAAAGCAUGUACGUGUAUUCAAAAGUCUUGCCUAAUUACUGUUUAUGAUAAAGAUAACAAAACAAAAAAACACAAAAAUUAUGCCCUAAGGAAACUCAAAUCACAAUUGUGUUCUCUAAAAAGGUAUAAACCAAAAAGGAGGAAACUUCUUCACAUCUAUCACUACAAACAAUAAUUAUCAUUUACUAUACAAAGGAUGCGUUUUAAGAUUGUUUUUAUUAUUAUUUUUUGGACAAAAAAUAACUUAUUAGUAUCUUAUCUCAUUUAUUGAUAAGAUAACAAAUUAUUUGCUAGUAUAAUAUUUUUACCAGAAAAAAAAUAUAUUGAACACAAAUAAUACUUAAACUCUUAAAAAAAAAAACUAUUUAGUAUAGCCACCUAUCUUACAUAUAAAAAAGAGUUAUAUCAGUUACAAAGAACAACAAAAAGAGUAUAUAUGUAUUUGAAUAAAUGCAUUUACAUAUUUGAUUAUUUUAUUAAGAAGUUUGACUAUAUUCGAUUUAUUUUUAUUCUUUUUGAACUAUCAAUUUGUGUACGUUCUUUUAAACUUUAUUACCAUAAUUAUUAAGUUUUGAUAUUCGAUAAUGUACAUGAUAUGUGAUUAUGAUAUAGUUAUAUUCUUGUUACAAGUUGAGAAAGGAAGAAUUGAAAACCAGUAGAUAAAGAAUGAAAUGAUCCCAAAAUGUGUUCCAUGGUUGUCUCCUAGUGGGCAGAUAGAAAUUAGCAAAAUUAGGCAUAUUUUUGGCAACCUUUUUCCACUAUUAUUUCCUUGCCACUAAGCUAUCUUAGCACCUUUGGUUUCAUUAUGAUGUUAAUUAUUAAUAGAUCUAGGCCUAGAAAAAGUGAAGAAAGCUUAGUAACCAUCCAAAUUGUCCUAAAAGGUGCAUGUAUAUAUCAAAAUAAGCAAUGUAAGGAAGGGUUGAAGAAAAAGAGAAAGCUUUGUUGUAAAAGGGGGAAGCACUUUCCACAUUUAUUCCCUCACUUUUAUUUUUAAUUUUGUAUACUCAAGUAUAUAACAACCAGGUGCCAACUUUAUCUUCCUGCUUUUCAGGAAAAAUGGAUUCCAUUUCAUCCCACCCUUCUAUUUAAUAUAUAACAAUAACAAACCUAUAUAACAAAAGUAUAUCCACCCACCCAUCACCAACACAAAAUGGUUAACCACCUAUUUUUCAGUUAUAUGGAACAUGUAUGAUAGAUAGGUGGGUUCAUGUUUUGUGUAUCACAACCAGCCAAUCAGCCACUUUCAUGUUUUUUUUCAUUUCAAUAUGACUGAUGUGUGUAAUGUAUUUCGGAUCGAUCUCUAAAUAGUUGGAUGUUAAAAAGUUUGAUUUGAGAUUCUUUGUAUAAGGGUUGAAGUGUCUCAUUUUAUUUUAUUUAUUUUUUGCUGAUAAAAAAAUACCUCAAAAUAAAACAGAAUAACAUUUGGAGUAAGUUGUGGAUAUCCAUUAUUUGAAACUUGUGGGAGGCAAAGAAAUAGAGUGAUAAUUAAGAAUGAAAAUGUGAAUGCAUAAGAAGCAUUUCACAUGAUCUAGCUAAAAGUUUGGAUCUCGAUGAAACAUGUUGGUAUAUUUUGUAAUUGUAUCAUGACGAAGAUGUGAAUAGAAUUUAUCUUAAGUAAAUCAUAUUGUAUGUGAAUUCAUUUAAUUUGUAUGGAGAGUGUGUACAUGUAUUUUUUUUUAGAAAGAUUGAAGUAUUUCAAUUUCUUCAUUUAAUUAAAAAUUAUUUGAUUAUAAAAAAAUAUAGCCAUUUCUAACAAUUAAUCUAAUGGAUUCAUAAGAAAUUCAAAUGGAGAGGUAGAAUCCGAAUUUUUAUAUUGAAAGAAUAAUUUUAAUUUUUUUAAAUAUAUUUCAAAAUAAAAAUAAUAAUUAAGAAGAUUAACGGUCAAGAUUUUGUUUACAGUUGAUCCGUUUAAAUUAUGGUAAUUUUUAAGUUGUAGAUCAUAAUGAUAUUAUAACUAUUCUUGUGAGUUAUUUUCUAUGUUUAAAUACACCUUAAAUUUACCUUAAAUUUUAAAGGAUAUAUAACUUUUCUUUUAUAAAAAAAAGAGUGAAAGCAUAUUAACAGUAACAUCUUAAAUAUUCUCUAACCUAGUUCUAUUUCGAGUAAUUCAUCUGAACAAUGAUCUUCCACUUAUUUAUUUUUCUAUUUUUGUGCAAACAUUGAAAUAAGAGAGAAUAGUCAACUUCUAUUAUUUCCCUCUCUUUUUUCUCCUCUUUCUUGCAAAAUUUCAUUUUCUUUUCCUUUACUUGAACAUGAUUAUUAUAUAUAUUUAGUCCUCUCUCUCGUAGUCGUGAUUUAUGAAUAAUGUCACGCAAGAUUUAUAUUUAUAAGCCAUAUUAACCUGAUCAUAUUAUUAAAUUUUUAUUAAAGAAUAUUAUUCCCUAAUUUAUUUUAAUAUUCUUUAAUUUUGAUGUAUAAAAGAAGGAUUAGUCUGAAAUGCAAGAAACCUAAUUAUAUAUAAACCCUUUUGUUAGUUUUUCAAAUUGGUGCCAAUUCAUCUCCGUACAUGGAGAAAUAAUUCAAAAAGUGGUGUUGUUGAAGAGAACUAAUAAUGUAUUGUCAUCUAAUCAUACAAGUGUUGGUCACGAAAGUUGAAAAACAAAAUUAAAGAAAAGUGAAGCAUAGACAAUCUAAAGAGAAAAAACAAAAGUGAAAAAAAAUGAAGGAAGUAAUAUUUUUUUUUAUCAAUAAAACAAAAUAAAUAAAUGUGAUUUACUUAAAGGUGAUCAAACUCUUAUACAAUACAUUCCUAUCUUUGAACACAACAGAAAUCUCACAAGAAACCUCUAACUGUCAACAUAACCAAUACCAGUUAAAAACAUCGUAUUAAUCUUGACUGUCUCAAAAGCUAAACAUUUUUUAAUCAAGAAGCUAUACAUCAGGUAAAUCAGGAGUUUUAAGCACACUAUGAAGAAAAAAAAAUAUCACAUAAAAGAUUAAGAGAGAAAAGGUUGAUGAAAACCCAGUUUUGUCCACCACAACUACAUUAAUUCUUAAAAACCGUAUCUUUUAAAAAGGCAUAUAAGCGACAAAUUCUAUACUUAUGCUUAAGGGUUUUAAUUAAAGUAGAGAAGAUAAUGAUGUUUUAGUGAUUCUAAAGUAGCAACAUCUUUAAGGUUUAAAAGAAGAGAUGCUUAUCUAUCUUUUUUCUUAAUAGUGUGUUUCUAAAUCCUUAAAUAUUAUAAUCCUUAGCAACCUUUUCUUGGUUUGGAAAGAAGAGGAUGUUGGGUUACGAAAAUCAAAGAAAGGAAAGUUAUUCUUUUAGAAAAUGCUUCACACAAAGCAUAAAAAGUAGUGCUCUUUUGAUAUAUCUAAGUGAAGAUUUUACUUUUUCCUUCCCAAAUAAAAAAAGUUGCUUACUUUGCACAAUCCUUACGCCAUGGAUCAUACUUUACUCAAUAUAUCAACUCACCCCAAUAUUUCAUUCAAUUAUGCAUAGUAAGAUGCAUUAUCAAAUUUCUUCAUUAUCUUUUCUUUUUCCCACUCCACACACAUUUUUUAAUUUUUUAAUCAAUAUAAUAUUUAAUUAUUAUUUUUUAAAAUUAGUUUCUAUUUAAUAUUUUUUUUACAAUAUUAAAUUAAUAAAAUCUCUUUUAAAAAUAAAAUUGAUAAAGAUAUUAAAUUCUAAAUAGUCAAUAAUUCAUAAGUUGAUUGACUUUAAUUUUAAUAGAGACCGAAACAUUAACACAUAUAAAGAAGAAAAAAUAAGUUUAAUAUUUUUCUCGCCUUUUAACUGUCAAAUAAUAUUAAAGACUUAUUUUCAUAUUUCAAAACUCUCACCAUUGUAACUUAAACUCAGUAGUAAUUUAUAAACAUUGUUCUUACAUUUUAAAGAAAUGUAUAAUAAAAGCAUUAAGCUUCAAAAUAAAUAAUAUAUUAAAUAUAACACCACAAGAAAAAUAUGAAAUAAAAACUAAUUUUAGAGACAAAAAAUAAUUAGUUGCUAUAUGAUGAUUUUAGAAACUAAAAAAAAAACUGGUUUCUAAAUUAAUUUCUAUUAUUGUUAAAUAGAUUCUAAAUUGACAUCUAAUCAGUAACCAAGGUUUUUUUUACCAAAUUUAGAAACUAAAUAAUUUAUAUUUUUUACUCAUUGAUUUCAUGAUUUUCUUGUAAAAAUAAUUUUAUUUUAAUUUUUAUCUCGAAUUAUUUAAUAUUAAUAUUUUAGUUUUAUUCUAGUUUUAUUAAUAUUUUAUUUUAUUUUCUUAAUUUUCCUCGUUUCCAUUAUUUUGAAAUAAAAAAUACAAAAAAAUGGUGUAUUUUGAAUUAAUUCUAACCAAGAAACACCCCAUCAAAAGUUAGAAUUUGAUUCUUCAAAAACUGAAUUCUAAACUAAAAAAACCGGUUGUAUUAUUGAAGUGAAAAUUUUGUGGCGUAGGAUGUGAAACUAUUAUUGUUUUCAAAUCUUUUUCAAAACCAAAUAUGUUUGAAAAGAGAAAAGAAAUGGUGUUUGGUUGAGCUAACAGCUAAGCUUGAAAACAAUAAAGCAGAAAAAUUGUGCACGUGUGGCCAAGUGUUGGCAUAUCUCUGUAUCCAAACUUAAUAUAAUGGUUUAUUUAUUGACUUCAAUUUUGUGAGAUGCAUUACCCAACACAGUUUAUUACAUUAUGGAAGACUUUUGACUUCAUCAUCAUUCAUAUUAUUUUGGAAUACAAGGACCACUAACACUACACUAUACAAACCUCUUAAUUAAUCCUUCUUUUCCUACAUAACAUGCAAAUAUUUUAUAACUACGUACAAAAAUAAUAAUAAAAUAAAAUAAAAUAUAUAUAUAUAUAUAUAUAUUACAAGAAAAUUAUAAAAUAAAAAAUAAUUUUUGGAAAAAAAGAAUUAGUUGUAUAAUGGUUAAAUUAGAGACCAUUUUAAAGACUAAAAAAAUUUAAUUUCUAAAUUAAUUUCUACUAUAAAUUAGUGUCUAAUUAGCUACCUAUGUUUUUCUACCAAAUUAUUUAUUGUAUAAACUUAUUUAAAAAUUGAUUUGUUGGUUUUCAAAUAAUGCUCUACUGUCAUUGAAUAAGUUUCUGAGUUAGCAAGUAAACCAAUUUAUUCCAAGUUUUAUUACUUUCAGUUUAUUAGAUUUUAAUUUAAUUUUUAAUUACCUGAUAAACUCUUAAUUCAAUCUUUAUAAUAACAGUUAUGGUAGAAAAUGUUAAAGUUAAUGUGUUUUGUAAAGGUAGAUGAUCCUAAAGUGACUCAGAUUUAUUUAUAUAUAAAAAAAAUUAUGGUAAAUGUAAUAGCAUUAAGAAAUUGGACACGUAAACUUUUUACACAUUAAUUUCACUCAUAAAAUUGUGAUACUAAACAGAAUCAUUAGGCCAAUUAAACAGAAACAAUGAACAUUGAUGUUAUUUUAAAAGUUAAAAAUAAUUAAAUCAAGUUAUAUCUUUUGGAGUAAAUUACAUUGAAACUCUCAAUAUUUUUUUUAAAAUUAAUACUUACGCUUUUUUUUAAUUAUUACGAUUGCUUCCCGUAAAAUGGUGGAAGUGUAUAUACAAAAAUAGAGUGCAUGUCUAUGUAAAAAGUGGAUGGCAUGCAUAACCUAAAAGGGGUGUCAAUAUAUAAUGUGUUUAAACCUAAGGGAGUGCAUAUAUAUAUAAUGUAAAAAUGGGGACAAUAAACUGUUUUAAAACAAAAGGGAGUUCAGUAUAAUUUCAGAAAAUCUCAAUGAGUAUUAUCUUUUUUAUUGUGUUAUGGAUUGGUAUUUGAUAAAAAAAUUAAUUUCACUCAUGAAAUUGCGAUACUAAAAUAAAUUUUAAUUUAAUUAAAUAUAAGAGAGACUAUGUUGUGUGUAUGUAACAAAAAAGAAACGUUUUUGAGUGUGAAAAUUGUAAUGAAGUAAUUAGAUUGAUUUUUUUUAUCAAUAAAAAAAAUAUGAAGUAUUUGAGAGGUGUUUCAAUUCUUAUAUAAAAGGUGUAUUUAGUUUUUCUAAUAUUAUUGUGUGUCAUACACUAAAGAGUAUAUAAAAAAAAACUUAUGGUUGAUAUAUUAAUUAAGUAUUUUUAUUUUCUUUUCUCUAAUUAUUUUUUUUAUCAGCCAGAAACAAUAUAUACAUAUGCAUCACUUAAGGGAUGAUUCUGUAUACGAAAAAUUAAGAUAGCUAUACAAUACAAUACCUUUCAGACAACCACUCAACUAACCCUCUUAAGACUCACUACCGUAAACAAGUUAAAGCAAAAAAGGACAAAUCAGAAGACACCAAUCAAUAUGUUUUUCUCUAAUUGUAAUAUAUAGACUCAAUUUCCUAUCACUAAGAAUUCCAAACAUUUGUCAUCCUCAAACAUGCACAAGUUAAAAUGUGUUGUUUGCUUUGAUUAGAUUGAAUUGUUGAGGGUUGAUUUUGUGUAGUUUGUUAGAGUGGGUUGUGGAAUUUAGGUUAUAUAGAUUUAAAAGUGUUGAAGGUUGGGUUUGCAUAGAAAGCAGAGAAGGCACAUAUACUGAAAAAUGGUGAGUGUAGGUGUUAACGAAAAGGAAUAAGAUAAAGAAAUGGGAGAAUAUUUUGGAACGUAGAUAUCUCCCUUUCACUCCUCAAUCAACUGCUCCACUUUUACUUGUUUUGUGCAAUGACCCAUGACGUAUCAUUAGUGUGUGAAUCAGCCAGUUAUAAUUUGAGUGCGUGUCAUCUUGAAAGAAACAAGUUAAAUAAAACAUGCUAAGGAAACAUUACAACAAACAAAAAAGGGAGAAAUGAUCUAACAAUCAUACAAGAAAGUCAGUGAUAUAAUGGAUAACUAGUUGAUGAGCAAUCAAUGAAAGAAACAGUGCAAACCCACUCAAAUAACCAUCGACUUGUCUCUUUUGAUACCAAACUACAAACCACACACACACA
rnacentral:lncRNA from 1 species